CCCCGGCCCAGCCCAGUCUCUCUGGAGGAAAAGCCGGUUCCCGAGGCGCAGCCGAGCUGUGUUUUGGGCUCCCCCGGCCCGUUCCCCGAUAUCCCGGCCGGGCUGUGCAGCCCCGUGUGGGGCGGGCACGGCGGCUCCUGUUCCAUGUGUCCGUGAUUUCGAGUUUCUGCACCACGGGCUGCUGCUGGAAAGGGCCUCUAAGGGAGUGGCUUUUUUUAAAGGAAGACAAUAGGUUUUUCUUAAAGGAAGGCAACAUGUCUCCUGCCGUUUUUUGUGUAAUCCAUGAUCUGUGCAUCCCACUGAGGAAGGAUAAGGAUAGCACUGAGGAAGUGGAAAAGAUGGAUGAAAUAAAGACAGAUGGAUCUUCUUGAACUGAAAAGUUCAUUGAACAACAAACACUUUUUCAGCAGAGACACAUUCAUUUCCUGGUUGAGAGGGAAGCAUACGUAGAAAGUAGGGGGCAGUUGGACUCUUCAUGACCAAUGACUGUUGUAUGACUGCAGCAUCUUAUGCUCAAGGACCAUGCCCGUAGAGCAAUGGAAUACAGAAAUUAUGUAAAAGAUGAUCCCUUGAGACCUACAAAGUCACCAUGACUGCAAAGCAAAAUUCAGAAGGAUACUCAAGAAGAGAACUUAAUGAAAAUGGCCAUUGUAAAUGUCAGAACAUUUCAGACAUGGAUUCCCAGUGACAUAUCCAGAGUUACAGCACAUCUUUCAGCUGAGUAAGAACCAAAGGCAACUUCUACUUAACUUCCUUAAACAAUGGUCAGUUCUGUUUUUUCCAAGGUAACAAAACUGCAGUUGCAAAAGGACUUAGCCUUGAGCAUUCCUGGACACACUGCGUUGCACCUGGAUCUAGAAGGUGUUUGCUGUUCCAAAAUGUAUUCUUUCCAGGCUUUAAAGUUCAAGAUAAUGUGAACAGUGAUAAAAGAUAAGAAUGUGUCUGUGAGUAACUGACAACUACUGACAUUACACCUGCAAGAUACAUGAACAUACAUACAUGAACACAGAGUUGAAAUAUAUGCCAUAUAUUCCCAUAUGUGAAAUAUUUCCCAGUCCUUUCUCACCCCUGUCCAGGUUCCAGACAUGGUUAGGCAAGAGUAUAAAGGAAAGAUGAGACAUUCAUAGAUUGCUGUGGGGAAAUUAAAUUCCAUUUUUCUAGCUAAACUAUCAAUGAUCUUUCUAGUUACAUGCACAACUCCAGGCCCAUUUUUAGAUUUAUUUUGUCUACUUUAUGCCAGCAAUUCUUCUCUGGAUUCCAGUGAUAAUGUCAGAGCAUCUCACGGGGUUAUUGGUAUCCUUGCCUCUGAGCAUGACUCUGAAUGAGCAGACUGCCAAGGUAUCUGAUAAGAAUGACCAAGCAAGAGGUGGUUUGAGUUCCAAGACGUCAGUGUUUGGAAGUUCCUAAAUUGCCACAUCUGUGUCCUCCAGUUCCAGGACAUGUGAGCUGCUUUCUGCAGUGGUGACAGCCAAAGAAAAGCAGCGUGGAACAGACUGAGGGGAGACAUUCACUGGAGAAGACAUUCACAUUCUUCAUGUGUGUAGUUCUCUACUCAGGGCAUAAACAGCAAAGCUACAGUUCCAUUAUAAAAUUGAAUCAAAAAUCAACAUUUACAAAGGAGUCAUUCCUCUGGCUUUAAUGGUCUUUGUGUUAGGAAGAAUCCUUAAAAAUUAUACAAUUCAUUUUUCCAGAACUGAUGACAGUCAGUCUGUCCAAUAGAUGAGAAAUGCAAAGUAUUCAGUUUUAUUUGUUUGCACAGUAUUCAGUCCCUAUCUUGAUGGGUACCACCGUAAUAAGAAAGAUUCAUAAUAAAGUCUCACUCAUGCCAGUUAUUUCACAAUAUCUCUGCUUUUUUAUACAAUUACACAGUAAGAGGAUACAUGUUGUAAAGUGCAGUUAUCUC